AUUGAACGCUGGCGGCAGGCCUAACACAUGCAAGUCGAGCGGCAGCGGGAAAGUAGCUUGCUACUUUUGCCGGCGAGCGGCGGACGGGUGAGUAAUGCCUGGGGAUCUGCCCAGUCGAGGGGGAUAACUACUGGAAACGGUAGCUAAUACCGCAUACGCCCUACGGGGGAAAGCAGGGGACCUUCGGGCCUUGCGCGAUUGGAUGAACCCAGGUGGGAUUAGCUAGUUGGUGAGGUAACGGCUCACCAAGGCGACGAUCCCUAGCUGGUCUGAGAGGAUGAUCAGCCACACGGGAACUGAGACACGGGCCAGACUCCGACGGGAGGCAGCAGUGGGGAAUAUUGCACAAUGGGGGAAACCCUGAUGCAGCCAUGCCGCGUGUGUGAAGAAGGCCUUCGGGUUGUAAAGCACUUUCAGCGAGGAGGAAAGGUUGGUAGCUAAUAACUGCCAGCUGUGACGUUACUCGCAGAAGAAGCACCGGCUAACUCCGUGCCAGCAGCCGCGGUAACAC
rnacentral:rRNA from 1 species